GCUGGGCGCGGUGGUGCGUGCCUGUAGUCCCAGCUACUCGGGAGGCUGAAGUGGGACGAUCGCUUGAGCCCAGCAGUUCUGGGCUGUAGUGCACUAUGCCAAUCAGGUGUCCACACCAAGUUCGGCAUCAAUAUGGUGACCUCCCAGGAGCAGGGGAACACCAGGUUGCUUCAGGAGGGGUGAACCAACCCAGGCUGGAAAUGGAGCAGGUCAAAAUUCCCAUGCUCAUCUGUAGUGGGAUUGCGCCUGUGAAUAUCCACUGCACUCCAGACUGGGCAACAUGGUGAAACCUUGUCUCUA
ensembl:misc_RNA Metazoa_SRP Metazoan signal recognition particle RNA